GCAAACUGUAGUGCGACGUUAAUCGCCGCUUACAUCAAUAUGUUGGAAUCAUCACCUUUUGUAAUGAUGAAAGCAUAUUUAUUCACCACAAACAAAAGGAUUAGAAAAGCAAUAGAAGAAUACACGUACACGAAUGUAAACACUCUAUAAUCGUAGUUGCAUCAAUGAAAUAUCCACCGCAUAAUUUACAUGUCAACUGAUCGUUGAGUUUAGAUAGCCGUAAACGAUACCCUCCACUCUGACCUGACAUCCUAUAACAAGUUUAAUAAUUUGCACAUUGAAAAUAUACUGAAAUGAAUUUUGAAGCAAUCAUAUUUAAGUGUCACAAUUAAGAUAUUAAACUUACGUGUUAAAUGGCGAGAAAAUUUUUUGUUUUAUCUAAUAAUUGCCAUUUGAUUAAAGAAGUCAGGAAAGUUGGAUCAGAACUCGAGAUGAUAUUUCAUGAAUUCUCAUAAUGAGAAAUUCAUUAAAAAACUGA